GCACAGCACACACGCUGUUGUGAGAGUUCCGUGCUCAUUUCCUUGUGGAUACACCAGGAACUCACUCUGCUGUGACCCUUCAGUACACCUCAUGUUAGGAUUAGAGACAUCUGGGUCAUAUCAGCUGCCACUGUCAUCUUCUAGUCCCUCAAAGUGUCAGCUAAAGAAACAGGCUCAGAGGAUGUUAUUUGAUUGGACUAUGUUGUAUCUCUGGAGAGCACAGCUGAGAUCAGACUGUGUGUGUGUAACUCCACUAGACUACGAGGGUGCUUCUCAUAAAGGUAAGAAAUGCAAAUUUGGCCUAAUAUACGAUGUUGCCCGGGGCAGCACUGGGUCACUUCUAUAGACACUUCUGUGUUAAUCAAGGGAAAUCUUAAGGGAAGGUGAAAAUGCUUCUAGAAGGCGACUGGACACCAGCACCCUUGCUUGCUGCCUUUGGGCUCUUCCUCUAAGGCCAACAGUGACCUGAAAUUAUUGACUGGCUGGCCGUGCUAAUCAACUGGAGAAAAUGGUUCCGAGGUCACCAACAUCAGACAAAUUCAUUUUAGGACCUAUGUAUGUGCUUAGAAAGACAGAAGUGCUUUUGUAAAGGAUACUAUUUCAGAAAAACAUAAUCAUAGUAACAACUAAUGACGCUAUAAAAUGCUGAUGUGUUGAAUGCUACUUUAGAAAAACAUGUUCAAAUCUAGGAAAAAAUUUGAUAGAAAACUAUCUAUCUAUCGGCAGGGUCUCA
rnacentral:lncRNA from 10 species